rnacentral:lncRNA from 1 species
CGCCGCCCGUGAGGGUGAGGAAAAAAAGACGCGCCUAUCUCCAAAGAGCGAAUAAAGAUAUAGAUGGUAGAAACAAAAACAAAAAUUAAAAAGUAAAAAUUAAAAAAAAUUAAAAGAUAAUUAUAUAUCAUUUUUUGGUAGCAGCAAUGAUAUAUAAUGGUCCUUCUCAUCCGAGUUCACUUCGAGUUCUCCUUCUCAUUCUCUGGCAUCGGUGGAGGCGGAGGCGGAGAAGGCGGCGCCGCCUUUGUUACCGUGGCCAAGAGCCGCUGUCGCUGGUGAAGAAAGGGAUGAAGGAAGAGGAUAUGGCGCUGCCCUCGUUACCAUCGCCGAGAGUUGCCGAGGCAGUGGAGAAGACGAUGAGGGUCGAAGAAGGUAAAAAGAAGUUACAAAAAAAAUAAAGAAUCAUAUAGAAAAGAAGAAGAUGAUAAAGUUACAAUAUUUCAGAAAAAUGUUGCACUAUUUUAAAGAAAACUUACACUAUUUAAGAGAAAAUUUUAACUUUUCUGAAUAAAAGUUACACUAUUUGAAAAAAAGGUUACACUUUUUGGACGAAAAUUAUAUUAUUUCUCCUUUUCCUCAUUCUCCUUCUUCUUUGUUUUCAUGUGGAUAAGGAGAAAUAAUAUAAUUUUCAUCAAAAGAGUGCAACUUUUAUUUAGAAAAGUGUAAUUUUUUUAAAAAAAACAAUGCAACGUUUCUCUAAAACAGUGAAUCUUCAUCUUUUUCUUCUUUUCUCUCUGAUUCUUUAUUUUUAUUGUAGAAAAAAAUAUUUUUUAUAUUUUAUUCUUUAUUAUUUUUAUUUUAUUUUUUUUUCCUUAGGUCCGCUCUCAAUCGCGCUAGCUCC